AACGCACGAGACCUGCGGACCUGCGGAGGGAUCAUUACCGAGUGAGGACCUACCGGUCCAACCUCCCACCCGUGUCUAUCGUACCUUGUUGCUUCGGCGGGCCCGCCAUUCGUGGCCGCCGGGGGGCAUCUCGCCCCCGGGCCCGCGCCCGCCGGAGACACCAACACGAACACUGUCUGAAGGUUGCAGUCUGAGUCGAUUUAUUUAAUCGUUAAAACUUUUAGCAAUGGAUCUCUAGAU
rnacentral:misc_RNA from 1 species